GCACUAGAAGCUCAGUGUCUAGAGCGUCG
rnacentral:tRNA from 2 species